rnacentral:rRNA from 1 species
AGAGUUGAUCCUGGCUCAGAAUCAACGCUGGCGGCGUGCCUAACACAUGCAAGUCGCACGAGAAAGGGUAGCAAUACCUGAGUAAAGUGGCGCACGGGUGAGUAACACGUGAAUUAUCUACCUCCGAGUGGGGAAUAACUGAGAGAAAUCUUAGCUAAUACCGCAUAACACUUACGAGUCAAAGCAGCAAUGCGCUUGGAGAGGAGUUCGCGGCCGAUUAGUUAGUUGGCGGGGUAAUGGCCCACCAAGACGAUGAUCGGUAUCCGGCCUGAGAGGGCGCACGGACACACUGGAACUGAAACACGGUCCAGACUCCUACGGGAGGCAGCAGUGGGGAAUUUUGCGCAAUGGGGGAAACCCUGACGCAGCAACGCCGCGUGGAGGAUGAAAUAUCUUGGUAUGUAAACUCCUUUCGAUGGGGAAGAUUAUGACGGUACCCAUAGAAGAAGCCCCGGCUAACUUCGUGCCAGCAGCCGCGGUAAUACGAGGGGGGCAAGCGUUGUUCGGAUUUAUUGGGCGUAAAGGGUGCGUAGGCGGUUUGGCAAGUCUUGUGUGAAAUCUUCGGGCUCAACCCGAAGUCUGCAUAAGAAACUGCCGGGCUUGAGUAUGGGAGAGGUGAGUGGAAUUUCCGGUGUAGCGGUGAAAUGCGUAGAUAUCGGAAGGAACACCUGUGGCGAAAGCGGCUCACUGGACCAUAACUGACGCUGAUGCACGAAAGCUAGGGGAGCAAACAGGAUUAGAUACCCUGGUAGUCCUAGCCCUAAACGAUGAUUGCUUGAUGUGGCAGGUACCCAAUCCUGCCGUGUCGAAGCUAACGCGAUAAGCAAUCCGCCUNGGGGAGUACGGUCGCAAGGCUGAAACUAAAGGAANUGACCGGAA